AACGCACAUUGCGCCCGCCGGCACUCUGGCGGGCACGCCUGUUCGAGCGUCGUUUCACCACUCGGGUCCCGGCCGCCGCCACGGCCGCGCCCGGCGUCGGGGCGCCGCGGUCCUCGCGCCGCGGGCCCCCAGAUCCAGCGGCGGACCCGCCGCGGCCCUGAGCGCAGUAAGUCCCCCCACGGGAACCUCGCUCCGGCGGCCCGCGGCGCGGCCCAGCCCCCUCCCGCGAUCGAGGCGGCGCGCGCGACGCGCCGCCCGACGAUAGUCGACCUCGAGUCAGGCGGGACUACCCGCUGAACUUAA
rnacentral:misc_RNA from 1 species